GGGGAAUUAGCUCAGUGGUAGAGCGCUUGCCUAGCAAGCGCAAGGCCCUGGGUUCAGUCCCCAGCUCCG
rnacentral:tRNA from 1 species